rnacentral:rRNA from 1 species
AUGCACGCUGGCGGCGUGCCUAAUACAUGCAAGUCGAGCGAACAGACGAGGAGCUUGCUCCUUUGACGUUAGCGGCGGACGGGUGAGUAACACGUGGAUAACCUACCUAUAAGACUGGGAUAACUUCGGGAAACCGGAGCUAAUACCGGAUAACAUGUUGAACCGCAUGGUUCAACAGUGAAAGACGGUUUUGCUGUCACUUAUAGAUGGAUCCGCGCCGCAUUAGCUAGUUGGUAAGGUAACGGCUUACCAAGGCAACGAUGCGUAGCCGACCUGAGAGGGUGAUCGGCCACACUGGAACUGAGACACGGUCCAGACUCCUACGGGAGGCAGCAGUAGGGAAUCUUCCGCAAUGGGCGAAAGCCUGACGGAGCAACGCCGCGUGAGUGAAGAAGGUCUUCGGAUCGUAAAACUCUGUUAUUAGGGAAGAACAAAUGUGUAAGUAACUAUGCACGUCUUGACGGUACCUAAUCAGAAAGCCACGGCUAACUACGUG